UACGUAGGCGGACUCGCAGGCAUCUUGUGAAAUCCCUCCGCUCAACGGAGGAACUGCAGGGUGAACCGCGAGUCUUGAGACAGGUAGGGGCUGUCGGAACGCUAGGUGGAGUGGUGAAAUGCGUUGAUAUCUAGCGGAACGCCGAAGGAGAAAUCAGGCAGCUGGGCCUGUUCUGACGCUGAGGUACGAAAGCGUGGGGAGCGAACAGGAUUAGAUACCCUGGUAGUCC
rnacentral:rRNA from 1 species